AACGAACGCUGGCGGCAGGCCUAACACAUGCAAGUCGAGCGCGUAGCAAUACGAGCGGCGCACGGGAUAGUAACGCGUGGGAACCUACCUUUCGGUUCGGAAUAAAAUCUGGAAACUGGUGCUAAUACCGGAUACGCCCUUCGGGGGAAAGAUUUAUUGCCGAUAGAUGGGCCCGCGUUGGAUUAGCUAGUUGGUGAGGUAACGGCUCACCAAGGCAAAGAUCCAUAGCUGGUCUGAGAGGAUGAUCAGCAUCACUGGGACUGAGACACGGCCCAGACUCCUACGGGAGGCAGCAGUGGGGAAUAUUGGACAAUGGGGGCAACCCUGAUCCAGCCAUGCCGCGUGAAUGAUGAAGGCCUUCGGGUUGUAAAGUUCUUUUGGUGGGGACGAUGAUGACGGUACCCACAGAAUAAGCUCCGGCUAACUUCGUGCCAGCCGCCGCCGUAA
rnacentral:rRNA from 1 species